UUAAGCGACUAAGCGUACACGGUGGAUGCCCUGGCAGUCAGAGGCGAUGAAGGACGUGCUAAUCUGCGAUAAGCGUCGGUAAGGUGAUAUGAACCGUUAUAACCGGCGAUUUCCGAAUGGGGAAACCCAGUGUGUUUCGACACACUAUCAUUAACUGAAUCCAUAGGUUAAUGAGGCGAACCGGGGGAACUGAAACAUCUAAGUACCCCGAGGAAAAGAAAUCAACCGAGAUUCCCCCAGUAGCGGCGAGCGAACGGGGAGCAGCCCAGAGCCUGAAUCAGUGUGUGUGUUAGUGGAAGCGUCUGGAAAGGCGCGCGAUACAGGGUGACAGCCCCGUACACAAAAAUGCACAUGCUGUGAGCUCGAUGAGUAGGGCGGGACACGUGGUAUCCUGUCUGAAUAUGGGGGGACCAUCCUCCAAGGCUAAAUACUCCUGACUGACCGAUAGUGAACCAGUACCGUGAGGGAAAGGCGAAAAGAACCCCGGCGAGGGGAGUGAAAAAGAACCUGAAACCGUGUACGUACAAGCAGUGGGGAGCACGCUUAGGCGUGUGACUGCGUACCUUUUGUAUAAUGGGUCAGCGACUUAUAUUCUGUAGCAAGGUUAACCGAAUAGGGGAGCCGAAGGGAAACCGAGUCUUAACUGGGCGUUAAGUUGCAGGGUAUAGACCCGAAACCCGGUGAUCUAGCCAUGGGCAGGUUGAAGGUUGGGUAACACUAACUGGAGGACCGAACCGACUAAUGUUGAAAAAUUAGCGGAUGACUUGUGGCUGGGGGUGAAAGGCCAAUCAAACCGGGAGAUAGCUGGUUCUCCCCGAAAGCUAUUUAGGUAGCGCCUCGUGAAUUCAUCUCCGGGGGUAGAGCACUGUUUCGGCAAGGGGGUCAUCCCGACUUACCAACCCGAUGCAAACUGCGAAUACCGGAGAAUGUUAUCACGGGAGACACACGGCGGGUGCUAACGUCCGUCGUGAAGAGGGAAACAACCCAGACCGCCAGCUAAGGUCCCAAAGUCAUGGUUAAGUGGGAAACGAUGUGGGAAGGCCCAGACAGCCAGGAUGUUGGCUUAGAAGCAGCCAUCAUUUAAAGAAAGCGUAAUAGCUCACUGGUCGAGUCGGCCUGCGCGGAAGAUGUAACGGGGCUAAACCAUGCACCGAAGCUGCGGCAGCGACGCUGAUGCGUUGUUGGGUAGGGGAGCGUUCUGUAAGCCUGCGAAGGUGUGCUGUGAGGCAUGCUGGAGGUAUCAGAAGUGCGAAUGCUGACAUAAGUAACGAUAAAGCGGGUGAAAAGCCCGCUCGCCGGAAGACCAAGGGUUCCUGUCCAACGUUAAUCGGGGCAGGGUGAGUCGACCCCUAAGGCGAGGCCGAAAGGCGUAGUCGAUGGGAAACAGGUUAAUAUUCCUGUACUUGGUGUUACUGCGAAGGGGGGACGGAGAAGGCUAUGUUGGCCGGGCGACGGUUGUCCCGGUUUAAGCGUGUAGGCUGGUUUUCCAGGCAAAUCCGGAAAAUCAAGGCUGAGGCGUGAUGACGAGGCACUACGGUGCUGAAGCAACAAAUGCCCUGCUUCCAGGAAAAGCCUCUAAGCAUCAGGUAACAUCAAAUCGUACCCCAAACCGACACAGGUGGUCAGGUAGAGAAUACCAAGGCGCUUGAGAGAACUCGGGUGAAGGAACUAGGCAAAAUGGUGCCGUAACUUCGGGAGAAGGCACGCUGAUAUGUAGGUGAAGUCCCUCGCGGAUGGAGCUGAAAUCAGUCGAAGAUACCAGCUGGCUGCAACUGUUUAUUAAAAACACAGCACUGUGCAAACACGAAAGUGGACGUAUACGGUGUGACGCCUGCCCGGUGCCGGAAGGUUAAUUGAUGGGGUUAGCCGCAAGGCGAAGCUCUUGAUCGAAGCCCCGGUAAACGGCGGCCGUAACUAUAACGGUCCUAAGGUAGCGAAAUUCCUUGUCGGGUAAGUUCCGACCUGCACGAAUGGCGUAAUGAUGGCCAGGCUGUCUCCACCCGAGACUCAGUGAAAUUGAACUCGCUGUGAAGAUGCAGUGUACCCGCGGCAAGACGGAAAGACCCCGUGAACCUUUACUAUAGCUUGACACUGAACAUUGAGCCUUGAUGUGUAGGAUAGGUGGGAGGCUUUGAAGUGUGGACGCCAGUCUGCAUGGAGCCGACCUUGAAAUACCACCCUUUAAUGUUUGAUGUUCUAACGUGGACCCGUGAUCCGGGUUGCGGACAGUGUCUGGUGGGUAGUUUGACUGGGGCGGUCUCCUCCUAAAGAGUAACGGAGGAGCACGAAGGUUGGCUAAUCCUGGUCGGACAUCAGGAGGUUAGUGCAAUGGCAUAAGCCAGCUUGACUGCGAGCGUGACGGCGCGAGCAGGUGCGAAAGCAGGUCAUAGUGAUCCGGUGGUUCUGAAUGGAAGGGCCAUCGCUCAACGGAUAAAAGGUACUCCGGGGAUAACAGGCUGAUACCGCCCAAGAGUUCAUAUCGACGGCGGUGUUUGGCACCUCGAUGUCGGCUCAUCACAUCCUGGGGCUGAAGUAGGUCCCAAGGGUAUGGCUGUUCGCCAUUUAAAGUGGUACGCGAGCUGGGUUUAGAACGUCGUGAGACAGUUCGGUCCCUAUCUGCCGUGGGCGCUGGAGAACUGAGGGGGGCUGCUCCUAGUACGAGAGGACCGGAGUGGACGCAUCACUGGUGUUCGGGUUGUCAUGCCAAUGGCACUGCCCGGUAGCUAAAUGCGGAAGAGAUAAGUGCUGAAAGCAUCUAAGCACGAAACUUGCCCCGAGAUGAGUUCUCCCUGACCCUUUAAGGGUCCUGAAGGAACGUUGAAGACGACGACGUUGAUAGGCCGGGUGUGUAAGCGCAGCGAUGCGUUGAGCUAACCGGUACUAAUGAACCGUGAGGCUUAACCUU
rnacentral:rRNA from 1 species